CUUAAAAAAUAUAUCAUAUAUGUAUUAUAUGAUAUAUAUUUUUUAGAUCACUGUGUUUUGGGGUCUUUGUUAUAUCAGCUUAAUCUAGACCCUAGCUUAUACUGCCUCAGUGUGCCAUACAAAUAUUCAUUUUGUUUCUGUUUGUGCCGUGAUGAAGGUUGGGAAUCACCAUGACCUGGACCAUUUCUUCUUUGUCCCUUUUGCUAACUCCUCCUCCCCAGUGUCAUCAAGGGGGAAAUCCUUUCCCUCCUACCCAUUCAGGUAUGUAGCUUAUUCUGGUCCCAAGAUAGAGAUUGGAUACCCCCAAUUCUUGCAGAAAAAUUGGGCAUAUGGGGGUGUUGACCAUUACCUUGCUUUGGGUUGCACCUGGAGUAAAGCUUGGUGAGCCUCAAUGCUGGAAGUCCCCAGGAUGUCCCCAUCCACAAUCCCCCCCAGGAGCCCAGCACCCGUGAAAGACUGUACUGCAUCAUGAGUUGCCCUGGCAUAGUGUUUCCUCAUGGGUUCCUUUCCUAUCUGGGAGACAGGAGUUCUGCCUCCUUCAAGAAAGAUACUUUCACUGCUGUUUCCGCAGCUCUCACAAGUCUUUCUUCUGCUCUGCCCGGUCUGAGUCGAACAGUGACACCAGGAAAACCAAGCCUCCCAAAGUUUAUCUCCAUGCUUCUGAGCUAGGUCAUAAGGCAAGAAGCUGCCAAAAUUAAUAUGAACUUCGGGCUCCUUGGCUUACUGGUACCUUUGGACGAGCCCCACUAGAGCGCUCCUCUCCCAGGAGGAGCCUCACACUUCCAGGGCUUCUUGACAACAGCACCUGGGGGCUGCACUGGUGGGCAGGGGUCCAUAGAACUGUCCUUCCUCCACCCUUCAGAGUUGAUUCCUUUCCACCUCUGACUUCGGUGCCCUUCAUCCGCCCCCCGCCAGUACCCCUUCUCUUGUGCAAGAACACCACUUGAGGCCCUAGCCCUAGCUUGGCUGGCUGGAACCGGAAGCCGAGGGGAUUUGGCUCUGGGGCGCACCAGUGCCCGCCAGUUGUGCGGGUUAGAUCACUCGGAGCACCUGCUUCUCCCUCCUGAACUAUGAGCCCCAACGUCCUUCGAGACGGAUCGUUUCCAGCCUUCUCCCAACUACAUUUCCCAGAGUCCGCCGGGGCCCUUUCGAGCCCUCUGAAGCGCGUGGCAGCCUGAGUGCCUGGCCUUUCUUUAAGGUGAGAGGAGGGGGCGGGGUGUGUGUGUUUCGGUAUGAUUUUCGCAAAGGCGUUGGGCGCUGCUUCUCUCCUGCUGCACGUGAGGUGGUGCGGCCUCCUGCCCCUCUUCCUCCCUCCCACUCCCCGUCAGGAAAAAAAGUUGUGAACUCAAACUCCCAGAGCCUAGGGGCAAGUUCUGUGGAAGAAUGCAGCCGUUUUGACCCGGAUGCAGGCCCUCUUUGGUGUUUGAGUGACUCAAAACCAGACUUUUGGGGUUUUUUUGCGGGGGGGGGGGGGGGCGUGAAGAAUCUUAAUGUGUAUCAGGGGCCAGAGAAGGAAGCGGAAUGAGUUUGAAAUCAUGCAUGUUUGGAAGCUGCGAGACAGGUGUGGAGUCUUCUGUCUCCUUUUUCUUCCUCCAGACUUCUAGAACUCUAGUCCUAACAAGAGGAGCCUGAGGGAAGAAGUUUGCACUACUUAAAGCCUUAAAGUCUUGGCCAGAUGGCAUGCAGCCUCAAUUGCCUCAUCCAGAACAUUCUCAGACUUACUGACCUACAAGAGUGGCAGGCAGUGUUCUCUCCCCUGAGCCUUCAACACAUGGUUGCUUACAGGGUACCUGGAAGGUGAAGGUAAGCCUUGAUGAUGGAGGCUUUAGCCAUAUCAGAGGCUCAAAUAUUCUGACUUCCUAGAGGCUAUCCUUACUUUUCCUUUCCCCUUCACACUCCAAGGAGCAUCACUGAGGUAGCACUUUUUUCUCUUAUCCUGGGGAGACAGGAUAUUAUUUCUUUUUCACCCCUAACUUUCCUGUAUCUCUGUCUUUAAUGCAGGGCUUGUCCUUCUACUAGUACAGAUACAGGACACUCCACAUCCUGCUCUUCCCACGCACAAAAUGUCAAACCUACCCUUGACAUUUCUUUGUCAUUUGCUUGCUCUGGAAGCAACUCUCUUAGAAUCAACAAGGUAUAAUGAUGGAUUAAAAAUGAGCCAGGAAUCAUUUGACAUUUUUCUCAUUGUGAAGAGAUCUCCAAUUCUGCCUCUUGAAUCUGGGGUGUUCUUAAUGGUUUGCUUGACCAGUAGAUUAUGGCAGAAGUAAUACUCUGUGAUUUCUGAAGCUAGGUUAUAAGAAGCCUGUAGCUUCUGCCUAGUUGUCUUGGAACACUCAAUCUUGGGAUGCUCCACAUGGGAACCGAACCACCAUUAAAAAAAAAAAAGAAGCCAAAACCCACCC